AUUGAACGCUGGCGGCAUGCUUUACACAUGCAAGUCGAACGGUAACAGGCCGCAAUUUUCUGACGCUCGGCUAACGGGCGGGUAAUUCAUCCGAACGUGCCCUGCCGUGGGGUAUAGCUUCUCUAAAGAGUACCUAAUACCGCAUACGAUCUAUGGAUCAAAUCCGUGGUGGGUAAUGGCACGCUCGGGUGGAGCGGCCGAUGUCGGAUUAGGUAGGUGGUGGGGUUAAGGCUCACCAAGCCAACGAUCUGUAGCUGCUAUGAGAGGACGACCAGCCACACUGGGAGUGAGACACGGCACAGAGGCCUACGGGAGGCAGCAGUGGGGCAUUUUGGACCAUGGGCGGAAGACUGAUCAAGAAAUGCCGCGUGCAGGAAGAAGGCCGUCGGGUUGUAAACUGCUUUUGUACGGAACGAAACGGCUCUGGUUAAUACCCGGGGCUAAUGACGGUAAAGGAAGAAUGAGCACCGGCUAACUACGUG
rnacentral:rRNA from 1 species